rnacentral:lncRNA from 1 species
AAUAACAAAAAGAUUAAAGAAAGUAGCAAAGUCCUUAGAUGAGCUAUCGGAACAAAUAAUUCAAGAACACGAAAGUAAUCCAUAUGAUGAAGAUAAAAAUCGCAAGAUGGACUUUGUGGAUAUUUUGUUGUCACUCAUGCACCAACCUGAGGAUGUUCAAAAUCACCAAGACGCCAUUGAUAGAACAAACGUGAAAGCUAUCAUAUUAGACAUGAUAACUGCGUCAUUUGAGACCUCUUCGUCAACAGUAGAAUGGGCCAUGUCACAACUCUUGAGGCACCCUAAUGUCAUGAAGAGACUUCAACAGGAGCUAGAACAUGUGGUGGGAAUGAAUAGACACGUGGAGGAAAAUGACUUAGAAAAGUUGUCUUAUUUGNACAUGGUGGUGAAGGAAACACUAAGGUUACACCCGGUCGGACCUUUGUUGAUACCUCGUGAGUGUCGAGAAGAUGUCACCAUUGAUGGCUAUUUGAUAAAGAANAAAACAAGGGUUAUGGUAAAUGNUGUCACCAUUGAUGGCUAUUUGAUAAAGAAAAAAACAAGGGUUAUGGUAAAUGCUUGGGCUAUAGGUCGAGAUCCUAAAGUUUGGGACAAGGCCGGGAUUUUCGACCCUUCAAGGUUUGAGAAUAACAAUGUAGAUGUUCGUGGAAAGGACUUUCGAAUUUUACCAUUUGGGUCGGGUCGAAGAGUGUGUCCCGGGAUUCAUAUGGGUUUAACGACGAUUAGUCUUGUUUUGGCUGAAUUAGUGCAUUGUUUUGAUUGGAUGCUUCCAUUGGGCAUGUCCUGUGAUGAGUUAGACAUGGAAGAGAUAUUUGGACUCACCACACCAAGAAAAAAACAUCUAUUAACUAGACCAGUUUAUCGACUACUUGCUUAGGUUAAGAGAGGAUAUUAAUGCAAAGCAAGGUCCAUCUAUAUUUGUGGUCGAUUUCAAUUCUAAUUUGGGAUAUAUGACACAUCAAACAAUAUAAUAAAAUAAUUAAUGCACUGAUGCAUCUAUG